GAUGAACGCUGGCGGCGUGCCUAAUACAUGCAAGUCGAGCGAACAGACGAGGAGCUUGCUCCUCUGACGUUAGCGGCGGACGGGUGAGUAACACGUGGAUAACCUACCUAUAAGACUAGGAUAACUUCGGGAAACCGGAGCUAAUACCGGAUAAUAUAUUGAACCGCAUGGUUCAAUAGUGAAGGACGGUUUUGCUGUCACUGAUAGAUGGAUCCGCGCCGCAUUAGCUAGUUGGUAAGGUAACGGCUUACCAAGGCAACGAUGCGUAGCCGACCUGAGAGGGUGAUCGGCCACACUGAAACUGAGACACGGUCCAGACUCCUACGGGAGGCAGCAGUAGGGAAUCUUCCGCCAUGGGCGAAAGCCUGACGGAGCAACGCCGCGUGAGUGAUGAAGGUCUUCGGAUCGUAAAACUCUGUUAUUAGGGAAGAACAAAUGUGUAAGUAACUAUGCACGUCUUGACGGUACCUAAUCAGAAAGCCACGGCUAACUACGUG
rnacentral:rRNA from 1 species